rnacentral:rRNA from 1 species
UACGUAGGGUGCGAGCGUUAAUCGGAAUUACUGGGCGUAAAGCGUGCGCAGGCGGUUCGCUGUGUCCGAUGUGAAAGCCCCGGGCUCAACCUGGGAAUGGCAUGGGAAACUGGCGGGCUGGAGUGUGGCAGAGGGGGGUGGAAUUCCACGUGUAGCAGUGAAAUGCGUAGAGAUGUGGAGGAACACCGAUGGCGAAGGCAGCCCCCUGGGCUAACACUGACGCUCAUGCACGAAAGCGUGGGGAGCAAACAGG